GACGAACGCUGGCGGCGUGCUUAACACAUGCAAGUCGAACGGUGAAGCGCCUUCCUUUUUGGUGGGUGUGGAUGAGUGGCGAACGGGUGAGUAACACGUGAGUAACCUUCCCCCUUCUUCUGGAUAACCGCAUGCAAUUGUGGCUAAUACGUGAUAUUCUGGGUCUGUCGCAUGAUGGGUCUGGGAAAGAUUUUGUUUCGGUGGUGGAUGGGCUCGCGGCCUAUCAGCUUGUUGGUGGGGUGAUGGCCUACCAAGGCGGUGACGCGUAGCCGGCCUGAGAGGGUGGACGGUCACAGAGGGACUGAGACACGGACCAGACUCCUACGGGAGGCAGCAGUGGGGAAUAUUGCACAAUGGGCGCAAGCCUGAUGCAGCGACGCCGCGUGAGGGAUGGAGGCCGUCGGGUUGUGAACCUCUUUCGCCAGUGAAGCAGGCCUGCCUCGUUUGUGGGUGGGUUGACGGUAGCUGGAGAAGAAGCGCCGGCUAACUACGUG
rnacentral:rRNA from 1 species